rnacentral:misc_RNA from 1 species
UCCGGCUUAUCACCGGCAGUUUCUUUAGAGUGCCCAACUAAAUGGUGGCAACUAAAGACGAGGGUUGCGCUCGUUGCGGGACUUAACCCAACAUCUCACGACACGAGCUGACGACAGCCAUGCAGCACCUGUGUUCCGAUUCCCUUUCGGGCACACCCGGAUCUCUCCGGGCUCUCGGACAUGUCAAGGGUAGGUAAGGUUUUUCGCGUUGCUUCGAAUUAAACCACAUAAUCCACCGCUUGUGCGGGUCCCCGUCAAUUCCUUUGAGUUUUAACCUUGCGGCCGUACUCCCCAGGCGGUCAACUUCACGCGUUAGCUUCGUUACCAAGGAAUUGCUUCCCCGACAACCAGUUGACAUAGUUUAGGGCGUGGACUAC